UACGUAGGGUGCGAGCGUUAAUCGGAAUUACUGGGCGUAAAGCGUGCGCAGGCGGUUUGUAAGCCAGAUGUGAAAUCCCCGGGCUUAACCUGGGAAUGGCAUUUGGGACUGCAAGGCUCGAGUGCGGCAGAGGGGGAUGGAAUUCCGCGUGUAGCAGUGAAAUGCGUAGAUAUGCGGAGGAACACCGAUGGCGAAGGCAGCCUCCUGGGAUAACACUGACGCUCAGGCACGAAAGCGUGGGGAGCAAACAGG
rnacentral:rRNA from 1 species